UUAGAAAAAAUGUCACAAUAAGAGGAAUUGCUCCAACCAACCACAAGACCUUCCACCUGGUCCUGACAUUGAUAAAAGAUGAGGUCUUCCCUCCUCUUUGAAAAAAAAGAGACCUAAUACUUCUACAAAUGUGCAAUCUGUUUUUCCAAUAAAUGUAGCUGUUGAUGUACAAUUUGGUUCAACUGUUAUGGCAUCUUCUGCAAUCAAUGUAACUGUUAACAUGCAAUCAAAGCAAGUGGUUGCACCUGCUAAUGCACAAAGAAGAAAGCUCCCUAUAAAGAAAAGUUCAAAUGUGAAUCCACCAAGGACAAGCUACUCCAAAAAGUGAAUGGUUGAUACAUACUCUAUUUUGUUGUAAAUGCAAACACUGAAGUUGGCUUGGAAUGAAGUUGUGAAUGAAGACAAUAUGAAUUUAGAGAUGAAAAUUUUGUGUAGAAACUAUGACUGAAGAUAGUAUGAAUUUGGAGAUGAAUAUUUUGUUAAGUUGUGAAUAAAGACAAUGAAGUUGGAGAUGAA